AUUGAACGCUGGCGGCAGGCCUAACACAUGCAAGUCGAACGAGUGGCGGACGGGUGAGUAAUGUCUGGGAAACUGCCUGAUGGAGGGGGAUAACUACUGGAAACGGUAGCUAAUACCGCAUACCAUCAGAUGUGCCCAGAUGGGAUUAGCUUGGUGGUGGGGUAACGUCUCACCAAGGAGACGAUCCCUAGCUGGUCUGAGAGGAUGAGCAGCCACCCUGGAACUGAGAGAGGGUCCGUAGUCCUACGGGAGUCAGCAGUGGGGAAUAUGGAACAAUGGGAGCAAGCCUAAUGCAGCCGUGCCACUUGUAUGAAGAGGGCAUGGGGGUUGUAAAGUACUUUCUGCGGGGAGGCGUUACUCGCAGAAGAAGGACCGGCUAACACCGUGCGAGCCGCCGCGGUAAUAC
rnacentral:rRNA from 1 species